CCUACGGGGGGCUGCAGUGGGGAAUAUUGGACAAUGGGGGCAACCCUGAUCCAGCCAUGCCGCGUGUGUGAAGAAGGCCCUCGGGUUGUAAAGCACUUUCAGUGAGGAAGAACGCCUGGUGGUUAAUACCCAUCAGGAAAGACAUCACUCACAGAAGAAGCACCGGCUAACUCCGUGCCAGCAGCCGCGGUAAUACGGAGGGUGCGAGCGUUAAUCGGAAUUACUGGGCGUAAAGCGCGCGUAGGUGGCUUGAUAAGCCGGUUGUGAAAGCCCCGGGCUCAACCUGGGAACGGCAUCCGGAACUGUCAAGCUAGAGUGCAGGAGAGGAAGGUAGAAUUCCCGGGGUAGCGGUGAAAUGCGUAGAGAUCGGGAGGAAUACCAGUGGCGAAGGCGGCCUUCUGGACUGACACUGACACUGAGGUGCGAAAGCGUGGGUAGCAAACAGGAUUAGAUACCCUUGUAGUC
rnacentral:rRNA from 1 species